UCCCUGGCAGUCCAGUGGUCUGGACUCCACGCUUUCACGUGGAGGGUGUGGGUUCAAUUCCUGGUCAGGGAA
rnacentral:tRNA from 1 species